GAGCACAUGAUGUAGUUGGUUAUUAGGCUCGCUUAGCAUUAAAAUCUCAUUUGCGAGAGGUGUUGGGUUCAAUUCCCAAUAUAUCCA
rnacentral:tRNA from 1 species